UUGGAAGUAAAAAACGUAACAAGGUUUCCGUAGGUGAACCUGCGGAAGGAUCAUUAUUGAUUUUAUCUAUUUCUGUGGAUUUUUAUUCUAUUACAGCGUCAUUUUAUCUCAAUUAUAACUAUCAACAACGGAUCUCUUGGCUCUCACAUCGAUGAAGAACGCAGCGAACCGCGAUAUUUUUUGUGACUUGCAGAUGUGAAUCAUCAAUCUUUGAACGCACAUUGCGCGGUAUGGCAUUCCGUACCGCACGGAUGGAGGAGCGUGUUCCCUCUGGGAUCGCAUUGCUUUCUUGAAAUGGAUUUUUUUAAACUCUCAAUUAUUACGUCAUUCACCUCCUCAUCCGAGAUGCCC
rnacentral:rRNA from 1 species